rnacentral:tRNA from 1 species
CGGAGAAUAGUUUAAGGAAUAAAAUAUUAAUUUUGGGUAUUAAAGAUAUAGUUUUUCUUCGA